rnacentral:rRNA from 1 species
GAUGAACGCUGGCGGUGUGCCUAACACAUGCAAGUCGAACGGACCUUUAUUUUUGAGAACUCCCUCCUUGGGGAUGUCUCAUAAAUAAUGGUUAGUGGCGGACGGGUGAGUAACACGUUGGUACUUGCCCCAAAGUGGGGAAUAACACGGCGAAAGUCGUGCUAAUACCGCAUAAUAUCGCAAGAUUAAAGCAGCAAUGCGCUUUGGGAGAGGCCUGCGUCUGAUUAGCAGUUUGGUAGUGUAAUGGACUACCAAGGCGACGAUCAGUAGCUGGUUCGAGAGGAUGACCAGCCACACUGGGACUGAGAUACGGCCCAGACUCCUACGGGAGGCAGCAGU